rnacentral:lncRNA from 10 species
CACGUGGACUCACUUAAGGAUUAGAUGCAGGUUAUAAAAGUACAUUGAAGAUGGCACCCAAAACAUUUGCUCUGAGCAACUGGAUGAAUGAACAACUGGUGUUGGGUAAUCAAGGAGUUGACUUGGAAUAUUGAGAAAUUCAUAUCAAGAUGUUGAAUAUGAGUUUUGAGAGGUUUGGGGCCUAGAAAUAUUCAGGACUAAAAUGCUGAUCAUAUUCAAAAUCAUGGGAUUGGAUCAGAUCACCCAGGGAAGAACACAGCUAGAGAUGAAGUCUGACAUCCAAGACCUGGAGAAAUCAGCAAAGGAUACUGAGUAGUGACCAGUGAGAUAGGGAAUCCAUAGAAUCCAUUCACUACCACCACCCCAUCCGCACCUUAAGUUGGAAUCCAUUUCUCACAUGGGCCACUCCAACAAGCCUCCUUACCAUCUCUUGGUCCAUAUAUGUUGUUCAUUGCAUUGAAUGUUCUUUAAAUGGUAACUUUAUUAAGUGAGCCACCAACCCCACCCCAAACAAUACAGCCUUUUUUUUUUUUUUUUUUUUUUUUUUUUUUUUUUUUUUUUUACUUUCAUAUUAUUUAAUCUAGUGUAAUUUUAAACAUUCACUAGUCUUUUGCAGUAUUUUUGUAGGAUUCAAAAUGGAAAAAGGUAUGAAGAUGAGCCUUAACAAUUUACUUUCGUUUUCCUGAGGGGUCUUCCUCCCCGUUAACUCCAUAAAAAGGACAAGAUCAAGGGCAAUACUGAUUCUGUGAAAUCUAACUUAUAAUCAACUAAAAUUUAGAAUGCUUAAAAACAACCCAAGUGGAAUGCAGAUUCAGGAGCUUAAACAUAAAAUGAAGGGUUUGAAUUCGGCACUUAUCUGCAUUCCACUUCCUCUAGUUAUAUGACGGAAAAUAUAAUGAACAAAUGUCCUAAAACACUUAGGAAGCUGACUGCUCAACUAGUUGUUAACUCAUCACCUCAGUUAAUGAACCUUCUGAGAAUAAGCACACAUUCUAUGUCUCCUUUAAGUGGAAAAGUCUCCCACGUAAGAGCUGCAUAUAAAAGGAGACAAAAGAACUGUAGAAGCUAACUGAUUAGAAAUACUUAAAGGAUAUUUGUUUUAAUAUCAAGGUACAAUGAUUGAAAAAAAACUUUUCCAUAUUUUUUAGGAAUUAUUAGGAUCUGGAAAUAAAACUGCCCUAAUCAAGGUAAUCAAUAACAUUCUACCUUUUUAAGUUUUAAAAAAGAAGUUUCAUAUCCACAUGAGAUGAUUUAUAUUAUGCAUAUACAAAAGUAUUUUGUAUGUGAGCUUGCUACACCAAGAGGCUACAGUGACAUGUGUGACAAUCAUUUCCUUGAAACUCUGCUAAAAUAUGCAUUUGACCAAACAAAAGGCCUUCUGCAGCUAGGACAAGCAAUCACAUAUUAUACAGAAUGCUUAGAACCAAGAUUCAGAUCUUAAUGAGACUUAUUGAAAAGUUCUCUGCCCCAUAAUGAGGCACCCCUUUAAAAAUAUGGUCUGAGUAGAGACAUAAAAGAUAUACAUUUAAACUGUGAUGGUAAAAUAACCAAAAAAAGAAAAAUUAUAGUUCAAAAAAAGGAACAAUUCUUUGAAAAAACAUACAUAGAAACAGUCAAACUAUGAACACCUUUACACAUUCACAACAUCUGCACUAAUGCAUAGAAGUUCAAAACCUAGAAGGCAUUUUCUCCCCCAUCCCUUCUCUGAAACUGAUUCAGAGGUCACUGUGUGAAGAACUUACUUCAGUCCUGAUUGUAAAUGUCAUGAAAUUAUUUUCUACACAGAUAGCAAAUUUAGUUUUAUAUAGGACUGCAAGCAUACAUCAUCUAGGGAUUACCCAGUAAACCACAAAUAUUUUAUCCAUUCCCCUAAGAUACAGGUAACAUAUGGUUGUGGUACAUCCCAGGCAGAUGUCAUUUAAAGCACGCAAGGGGAGGUGCUAGCAAAAAAAUACUCAUUUGCCAAAGUAACAGGUUAACCCUUCCAAUAUGAUGUACCACAACCACACAUGAGAAAAGUCAAGAACUUAUUUUAUUUUAUUUUAAAAUAA